AUCCUCACAUUCUUUCAUAUCCCAUCCAAAUUAAUAUUAAUUGGAGCCUACAAAAUAUGGCAAACACAAAAGCUUUUCUUAUUGUCAUCCUCUUUGCUGCAAUUCUUAUCAGUUCCUAUGAGGUCUCAGCUCGUGAGCUCGCUGACCCUCACUCGACUAGACAAACUCAGUCUGUGGAGGAGUCAAAGCAGUCGUAUACAGGAGGAGGUUAUGGUAACCCAGGAGGAGGUUAUGGUGAUCCAAACCCACCCUCGAGACAAAAGCGUAACUAAAUGAUACGCUGUGCGUGAAAUAUAUGAAAGGUUUAGCAUAACAAAAUAUAUAGUCAUAUAUAUUUGUGUGUACCGAUAUGAAAUAAAUAGAUUGGGAGUGAACAAAAAUUAUGGUUUGAUUAUUUUCAUGAGUUAAUUGAGUUGGUGCUGUGUUCGUCCCAACUUAACUAUCAUGUAUAAUUUGAUCCUAUAAUAUAGACUUUCCGGGUUAUAUAUUCUAUGUAAUUCCCCUUUUUUCUUUAUUUUAGUUGACAACUUUGAAUUUGUAUUAAUUAAGUUGGUGCAUAUAUCAAUAUAUCAUACUUUCUCUA